UACAGAGGGUGCUAGCGUUGUUCGGAAUCAUUGGGCGUAAAGGGCGUGUAGGCGGUUUGUUAAGUCAUGUGUGAAAUCCCUCGGCUCAACCGGGGAACGACGCAUGAAACUGGCAAGCUAGAGUACCGAAGAGGGGGGUGGAAUUCCCGGUGUAGCGGUGAAAUGCGCAGAUAUCGGGAAGAACACCCGUGGCGAAGGCGGUUCUCUGGGACGGUACUGACGCUGAGACGCGAAAGCGUGGGGAGCGAACAGG
rnacentral:rRNA from 1 species